rnacentral:misc_RNA from 1 species
UCAGAUACCUCGCAGACCAGAA